UACGUAGGGUGCAAGCGUUAAUCGGAAUUACUGGGCGUAAAGCGUGCGCAGGCGGUUGUGCAAGACAGAUGUGAAAUCCCCGGGCUUAACCUGGGAACUGCAUUUGUGACUGCACGGCUAGAGUGCGGCAGAGGGGGAUGGAAUUCCGCGUGUAGCAGUGAAAUGCGUAGAUAUGCGGAGGAACACCGAUGGCGAAGGCAAUCCCCUGGGCCUGCACUGACGCUCAUGCACGAAAGCGUGGGGAGCAAACGGG
rnacentral:rRNA from 1 species